rnacentral:rRNA from 1 species
GUGCCAGCAGCCGCGGUAAUACGUAGGUGGCAAGCGUUGUCCGGAUUUAUUGGGCGUAAAGCGAGCGCAGGCGGUUUUGUAAGUCUGCUGUGAAAGCCCUCAGCUCAACUGAGGAAGUGCAGUGGAAACUACAAAACUUGAGUACAGAAGAGGAAAGUGGAACUCCAUGUGUAGCGGUGAAAUGCGUAGAUAUAUGGAAGAACACCAGUGGCGAAGGCGGCUUUCUGGUCUGUUACUGACGCUGAGGCUCGAAAGCAUGGGUAGCGAACAGGAUUAGAUACCCUGGUAGUCCAUGCCGUAAACGAUGAAUACUAGGUGUUGGAGGGUUUCCGCCCUUCAGUGCCGCAGCUAACGCAUUAAGUAUUCCGCCUGGGGAGUACGACCGCAAGGUUGAAACUCAAAGGAAUUGACGGGGGCCCGCACAAGUGGUGGAGCAUGUGGUUUAA